AGCGCAUCUCAGGGCGGGGUGAAAGUCCCCACCGGCGGUGACUCCCGAGGGAGAAGUCCGCGAGCGCCUUCCGACGGCGGAAGGGUCAGCAGAUCCGGUGCGAUUCCGGAACCGACGGUAACAGUCCGGAUGGAAGAGAUACGGC
rnacentral:ncRNA from 1 species